ensembl:snoRNA
UGUAUGACUGAUUACUCCUGGUGGUUUAUGGGUCAUGAAAGUUGAAUUUGUGUCUGUAACUUUAAUGCCUUAUUCAA